rnacentral:rRNA from 1 species
GGUGAGUAACACGUGGAUAACCUACCUAUAAGACUGGGAUAACUUCGGGAAACCGGAGCUAAUACCGGAUAAUAUAUUGAACCGCAUGGUUCAAUAGUGAAAGACGGUUUUGCUGUCACUUAUAGAUGGAUCCGCGCCGCAUUAGCUAGUUGGUAAGGUAACGGCUUACCAAGGCAACGAUGCGUAGCCGACCUGAGAUGGUGAUCGGCCACACUGGAACUGAGACACGGUCCAG